GCUUCUCUUGAGAGCGGCGGACGGGUGAGUAAUGCCUAGGAAUCUGCCUGGUAGUGGGGGAUAACGUUCGGAAACGGACGCUAAUACCGCAUACGUCCUACGGGAGAAAGCAGGGGACCUUCGGGCCUUGCGCUAUCAGAUGAGCCUAGGUCGGAUUAGCUAGUUGGUGAGGUAAUGGCUCACCAAGGCGACGAUCCGUAACUGGUCUGAGAGGAUGAUCAGUCACACUGGAACUGAGACACGGUCCAGACUCCUACGGGAGGCAGCAGUGGGGAAUAUUGGACAAUGGGCGAAAGCCUGAUCCAGCCAUGCCGCGUGUGUGAAGAAGGUCUUCGGAUUGUAAAGCACUUUAAGUUGGGAGGAAGGGUUGUAGAUUAAUACUCUGCAAUUUUGACGUUACCGACAGAAUAAGCACCGGCUAACUCUGUGCCAGCAGCCGCGGUAAUACAGAGGGUGCAAGCGUUAAUCGGAAUUACUGGGCGUAAAGCGCGCGUAGGUGGUUUGUUAAGUUGGAUGUGAAAUCCCCGGGCUCAACCUGGGAACUGCAUUCAAAACUGACUGACUAGAGUAUGGUAGAGGGUGGGUGGAAUUUCCUGUGUAGCGGUGAAAUGCGUAGAUAUAGGAAGGAACACCAGUGGCGAAGGCGACCACCUGGACUAAUACUGACACUGAGGUGCGAAAGCGUGGGGAGCAAACAGGAUUAGAUACCCUGGUAGUCCACGCCGUAAACGAUGUCAACUAGCCGUUGGAAGCCUUGAGCUUUUAGUGGCGCAGCUAACGCAUUAAGUUGACCGCCUGGGGAGUACGGCCGCAAGGUUAAAACUCAAAUGAAUUGACGGGGGCCCGCACAAGCGGUGGA
rnacentral:rRNA from 1 species